rnacentral:lncRNA from 1 species
UCCACUUAGGAGGCCUGAAAAGUGAGGAAGGAGCUGUCUGACCCUCCCCCACUACAACAAUAUGAGUCACCCCUGCAUCAAGAAGAUCCAGUGCCACCCUGAUAUAGUCCUGCUCCACCAUAUCAUCUAGCACCGCUACAAUACGAUCUGAUGCACCCACCAUACAACCAGGUGUUGUCACAGGGCCACCUGAUCCCUCUCUAGCAUAAUCU